GUCAGGAGGGACGAGCGGUUUAAGGCGCUGCAAUCAGGUCGUACUCCACUUGCGUGUUCGUGGGUUCGAAUCCCACUUCGGACA